rnacentral:tRNA from 1 species
GCUUUCGUGGUGUAGUGGUCAACACGCUCGGCGUGUAUUCCAGAGGCACCGUGGUUCGAGUCCCGGCAAGGGCA